rnacentral:misc_RNA from 1 species
UCUCUGGUCUGGUUCUCUGAAUCUCUGGUUUUCUUUCUCUUUAGAUUCAACAACUUUUGGAAAAUCAAUAAUUAAGUGAACCAUGUAUUAAUAUCUGUGGAGUGAACUUUAUUAAGGGCGGUGAUACUGAGAAUAUGUGAAACUAAUUCGGUAAUGUUAUUUGUAAUUAAUUUUGUUUUAUUGAGUACAAGUGUUUGUCACAGUGAGCGGUAAAAUCAUCAACAUGCAUCGUCGUGGCGGGAAACGUAUUCGGAUGGAUGAUCCGCCACCCGAAUAUGCAAACCCCAUGACACCAGCGACUCCCAUGACGGACUACGGCGGCCAGUCUGUCCAUGAGCCCGAGCCGCCUAAUUAUUCGUUCAAUGUUGCCCCGGCCGCGAAUUCUACAGCCAUCGAACCGCCAAGGGAUGACGCGGAGGAAUCUCAUCAUUCAGCAGAAGAAGGGGCGAGGUCGCCUUCACCGGCACCUACCAAGCGAAUCACUCGCAGUCGCGGGCGCGGUGGUGAUGGCGGCUACGUGGGACGACUGGCGGAGGCCCCGCCGCCGCCGCCUCCUACGAGACGACGCGGCCGCGGGGGCCGGGGUCGCGGUCGUGGCCGAGGUGCUGCGCCACCACCGGCUUACUCGCCACCACCGGUAUUGUUGCCCGGUGAUGAUGAAAACAGCCUCUACAACAUUUUGCGAUUUAACAAGACUGCUAUCAAUCAAGUGGUAGACAUGUGGAUAGAGGAGUACAAGAGCAACCGCGAGAGCGCCCUGGUGCAGCUGAUGCAGUUCUUCAUCAACUCGUCCGGCUGCCGCGGGAAGGUCACCCCGGACAUGGCGCAGAUGGACCACACGCUCAUCAUCAAGAAGAUGACCCAGGAGUUUGAUGAGGAAAGUGGAGAGUACCCCCUGAUAAUGUCAGGGCAGACGUGGAAGAAGUUCCGCAGCAAUUUCUGCGAGUUCAUCCAGACGCUGGUGAAGAUGUGCCAGUACUCCAUCAUCUACGACCAGUACCUCAUGGACAACAUCAUCUCGCUGCUCACCGGGCUGUCUGACUCGCAAGUCAGAGCAUUCAGGCACACUGCCACUUUGGCUGUGAUGAAACUUAUGACGGCCCUAGUAGACGUGGCGCUCCUCACGAGCGUGAACUGCGACAACUGCCUGCGACAGUACGAGGCUGAACGUCUGAAGGCCCGGGACAAACGAGCCAGCGAGAGGCUGGAGGUCCUCGUGGCCAAGCGGCAGGAGUUGGAAGAGAAUAUGGAGGAGAUCAAGAACAUGCUCUCGUACAUGUUCAAGUCUGUCUUCGUGCAUAGAUACAGGGACACAUUGCCGGACAUCCGGGCCAUCACGAUGGCAGAGAUCGGCAUCUGGAUGGAGAAGUUCCCAGCGCACUUCCUCGACGACUUGUAUCUCAAAUAUAUUGGAUGGACUUUGCAUGACAAGGUGGGCGAGGUGCGGCUGCGCUGCCUGCAGGCGCUGCAGCCGCUGUACGAGUGCGAGGAGCUGAAGGGCAAGCUGGAGCUGUUCACGUCCAAGUUCAAGGACCGCAUCGUGGCCAUGUCGCUGGACCGCGAGCCCGACGUGGCCGUGCACGCCGUGCGGCUCGUCAUCGCCAUCCUCAAGAUGCACCCGGACGUGCUCACAGACAAGGACUGUGAGAACGUGUACGAGCUGGUGUACUCGUCGUGCCGCGCGGUGGCGGCCGCCGCCGGCGAGUUCCUCAACGUGAGGCUGUUCCGAGCUGAUGAAAAUGCGGUCGUCACCAGGUCCAGGCGGGGCAAGCAGAGGCCGCCCAACACGCCGCUCAUCAGGGACCUCGUGCAGUUCUUCAUCGAGUCUGAGCUCCACGAGCACGGCGCCUACCUGGUGGACUCGCUGAUCGAGUCCAACCCCAUGAUGAAGGACUGGGAGUGCAUGACGGACCUGCUGCUGGAGGAGGCGGGGCCCGGCGAGGACGCGCUGGACAACCGGCAGGAGUCCUCGCUCAUAGAGCUCAUGGUGUGCUGCGUCAGGCAGGCCAGCACGGGCGAGCCGCCGGUGGGCCGCGCGCCGCGCAAGCCGCUGGCCGUCAGCAAGGAGCAGGCCAAGAUGGUGAGCGAGGACCGGCACAAGAUGACGACGCACUUCAUCCCCACGCUGCCGGCGCUGCUGGACAAGUUCGGCGCCGACCCCGAGAAGCUGGCCAACCUGGCGGCCAUCCCGCAGUACUUCGAGCUGGAGCUGUACGUGGCGCUGCGCCAGGAGGGGAACCUGACGCUGCUGCUGAACAAGCUGCGCGACAUGGUGAGCGUGCAGACGGAGGCGGAGGUGGUGGAGACGGUCGGGCGCACGCUGGAGACGCUGUGCGCCGAGCAGUCGGCCGUGUUCUCGCGCUGCAACGUGGCGCGCGCCACCGUCUCCGACAUGUGCGCCAACCGCUACAAGGAGGCCAUGGACGACUUCCGCUCGCUGCUCGAGGGCGGCGAGACGCCCGACGCCGACGAGCUCUUCAACGUCAUCAACUCGCUGCGGAAGGUGUCCAUUAUGUACAUGUGUCACAACCUGAACGACACCAACAUCUGGGACUCGCUGUACGAGGACCUGCCCAAGUGUAUCAAAGGCGAGGAGGGGGCUCCGGAACAGGCGAUGCCGGGCGCGGCGCUGGUGUUCGUGGUGCGCGCGUGCUUCUACUCGCUGCUGUGGGCGCUGCACGAGCUGGAGCACAAGCCGGCCGCCGGCGCCGACGCCGUGAUGCAGCUCAGCGAGCGGCUGCGCGGCUACUGCGAGUGGUGCCGGAGAAUCGUGCGGUCGGGCAGCAGCGCGGCGCUGCGCGCGGAGGCGUACACGUCGCUGUGCGACCUGCUGCUGGUGUUCGCGGAGCGCCUGGCGCACGCCGCGCCCGCGCUGCGCCCGCUCGUGCUGGAGCCCGACGCCGCGCUCUGCGACAUGCUCAACGACUUCAUCCAGGAGUUCGUCUUCGUGCACCACAACUACGACGGUCAAGACGAGCGCCGCAUCGAGGAGCUGCACAAGCGGCGCAACUUCCUGGCGGCCUACUGCAAGCUCAUCGUGUACAACGUGGCGCCCAUCCGCCGCGCCGCCGACGUCUUCAAGCAUUACAUCAAGUGCUACAACGACUACGGCGACAUAAUCAAGUCGACGCUGAGCAAGGCGCGCGAGAUCAACAAGCUGCAGUGCGCGCUGAGCAUGCAGCUGGCCAUGCAGGCGCUGUUCCAGCAGCUGGCCGGCGGCGCGCACCGCCUGCGCUCGCUGCCCGACUUCCACGAGCUGAAGGAGCUGGCCAAGCGCUUCUCCGUGAUGUUCGGCCUCGACGCGGUGAAGAACCGGGAGGCGCUCACAGCGCUGCACCGCGCCGGCAUCGUGUUCGCGGCGCUGGAGUCCUCGCCGCUGGGCCCGCCGCAGAACCUGCUGUUCCUGGAGCCGCUCGCAGAGUUCUCCAACAAGCUGCUCAGGCAGGAUAAACGGCAAGUGCUCAAGUUCCUGGACGCGCGCAUCUCGUACAGCAUGAGCUGGGGCGAGCUGGGCGCGCCGCUCACGGCCUACCGCAACUCGCUGCUCACCGAGCACAGCGACGACCGCCCGCCGCCGCGCAGGCACUACACACGGCGCCGUCAGUAUACACAUACAUUAUAUACAUCUCGUACAGCAUGAGCUGGGGCGAGCUGGGCGCGCCGCUCACGGCCUACCGCAACUCGCUGCUCACCGAGCACAGCGACGACCGCCCGCCGCCGCGCAGGCACUACACACGGCGCCGUCAGUAUACACAUACAUUAUAUACAUCUCGUACAGCAUGAGCUGGGGCGAGCUGGGCGCGCCGCUCACGGCCUACCGCAACUCGCUGCUCACCGAGCACAGCGACGACCGCCCGCCGCCGCGCAGGCACUACACACGGCGCCGUCAGUAUACACAUACAUUAUAUACAUCUCGUACAGCAUGAGCUGGGGCGAGCUGGGCGCGCCGCUCACGGCCUACCGCAACUCGCUGCUCACCGAGCACAGCGACGACCGCCCGCCGCCGCGCAGGCACUACACACGGCGCCGUCAGUAUACACAUACAUUAUAUACAUCUCGUACAGCAUGAGCUGGGGCGAGCUGGGCGCGCCGCUCACGGCCUACCGCAACUCGCUGCUCACCGAGCACAGCGACGACCGCCCGCCGCCGCGCAGGCACUACACACGGCGCCGUCAGUAUACACAUACAUUAUAUACAUCUCGUACAGCAUGAGCUGGGGCGAGCUGGGCGCGCCGCUCACGGCCUACCGCAACUCGCUGCUCACCGAGCACAGCGACGACCGCCCGCCGCCGCGCAGGCACUACACACGGCGCCGUCAGUAUACACAUACAUUAUAUACAUCUCGUACAGCAUGAGCUGGGGCGAGCUGGGCGCGCCGCUCACGGCCUACCGCAACUCGCUGCUCACCGAGCACAGCGACGACCGCCCGCCGCCGCGCAGGCACUACACACGGCGCCGUCAGUAUACACAUACAUUAUAUACAUCUCGUACAGCAUGAGCUGGGGCGAGCUGGGCGCGCCGCUCACGGCCUACCGCAACUCGCUGCUCACCGAGCACAGCGACGACCGCCCGCCGCCGCGCAGGCACUACACACGGCGCCGUCAGUAUACACAUACAUUAUAUACAUCUCGUACAGCAUGAGCUGGGGCGAGCUGGGCGCGCCGCUCACGGCCUACCGCAACUCGCUGCUCACCGAGCACAGCGACGACCGCCCGCCGCCGCGCAGGCACUACACACGGCGCCGUCAGUAUACACAUACAUUAUAUACAUCUCGUACAGCAUGAGCUGGGGCGAGCUGGGCGCGCCGCUCACGGCCUACCGCAACUCGCUGCUCACCGAGCACAGCGACGACCGCCCGCCGCCGCGCAGGCACUACACACGGCGCCGUCAGUAUACACAUACAUUAUAUACAUCUCGUACAGCAUGAGCUGGGGCGAGCUGGGCGCGCCGCUCACGGCCUACCGCAACUCGCUGCUCACCGAGCACAGCGACGACCGCCCGCCGCCGCGCAGGCACUACACACGGCGCCGUCAGUAUACACAUACAUUAUAUACAUCUCGUACAGCAUGAGCUGGGGCGAGCUGGGCGCGCCGCUCACGGCCUACCGCAACUCGCUGCUCACCGAGCACAGCGACGACCGCCCGCCGCCGCGCAGGCACUACACACGGCGCCGUCAGUAUACACAUACAUUAUAUACAUCUCGUACAGCAUGAGCUGGGGCGAGCUGGGCGCGCCGCUCACGGCCUACCGCAACUCGCUGCUCACCGAGCACAGCGACGACCGCCCGCCGCCGCGCAGGCACUACACACGGCGCCGUCAGUAUACACAUACAUUAUAUACAUCUCGUACAGCAUGAGCUGGGGCGAGCUGGGCGCGCCGCUCACGGCCUACCGCAACUCGCUGCUCACCGAGCACAGCGACGACCGCCCGCCGCCGCGCAGGCACUACACACGGCGCCGCGCGGGCGCCGCCGACGAGGACGAGGCGGAGGAGGCCGGCGACUCCGACCAGGAGCCGCCGGGGUGAGCGCAGCGCCACAGUA